UACGUAGGGUGCGAGCGUUGUCCGGAUUUAUUGGGCGUAAAGCGCGCGCAGGCGGUGCGGUAAGUCUGUCGUGAAAUCUCCCGGCUCAACUGGGAGGGUGCGGUGGAGACUGCCGGACUGGAGGCACUCAGAGGCCGGUGGAAUUCCCGGUGUAGUGGUGAAAUGCGUAGAUAUUGGGAAGAACACCGGUGGCGAAGGCGGCGACCUGGUCCUUGACUGACGCUGAGGCGCGAAAGCGUGGGGAGCAAACAGG
rnacentral:rRNA from 1 species